UACGUAGGGUGCGAGCGUUAAUCGGAAUUACUGGGCGUAAAGCGUGCGCAGGCGGUUUUGUAAGUCAGAUGUGAAAUCCCCGGGCUCAACCUGGGAACUGCGUUUGAAACUACAAGGCUAGAGUGUAGCAGAGGGGGGGUGGAAUUCCACGUGUAGCAGUGAAAUGCGUAGAGAUGUGGAGGAACACCGAUGGCGAAGGCAGCCCCCUGGGUUAACACUGACGCUCAGGCACGAAAGCGUGGGGAGCAAACAGG
rnacentral:rRNA from 1 species